rnacentral:tRNA from 1 species
AUCCGCUUAGCUCAGAAGUCAGAGCAUCGCAAUCUAAUUGCGAUAGUCAUCGGUUCGACUCCGAUAGCGGCUG